ACUCAAAUGAAUAGACGGGGACCCGCACAAGCGGUGGAUGAUGUGGUUCAAUUCGACGCAACGCGAAAAACCUUACCUACCCUUGACAUGUCGCGAAUCUUGCUGAAAGGUGAGAGUGCCCGCAAGGGAACGCGAACACAGGUGCUGCAUGGCUGUCGUCAGCUCGUGUCGUGAGAUGUAGUGGUUAAGUCCCGCAACGAGCGCAACCCUUGCCAUUAGUUGCUACAUUUAGUUGAGCACUCUAAUGGGACUGCCGGUGACGAAUCGGAGGAAGGUGGGGAUGACGUCAAGUCCUCAUGGCCUUUAUGGGUAGGGCCACACACGUCAUACAAUGGCCGGUACAGAGGGUCGCCAACCCGCGAGGGGGAGCCAAUCUCAUAAAGCCGGUCGUAGUCCGGAUUGUAGUCUGCAACUCGACUACAUGAAGUCGGAAUCGCUAGUAAUCGCGGAUCAGCAUGUCGCGGUGAAUACGUUCCCGGGUCUUGUACACACCGCCCGU
rnacentral:rRNA from 1 species